rnacentral:misc_RNA from 1 species
GAUGAAGAACGUAGCGAAAUGCGAUAAGUAAUGUGAAUUGCAGAAUUCAGUGAAUCAUCGAAUCUUUGAACGCACAUUGCGCCCCUUGGUAUUCCGAGGGGCAUGCCUGUUCGAGCGUCAUUUCAACCCUCAAGCACAGCUUGGUCUUGGGCUUCGCCGCUAACCCGGCGGGUCUUAAAAUCAGUGGCGGUGCCGUCGGGCCCUGAGCGCAGUAAUUUCUCUCGCUAUAGGGUCCCGGCGGAUGCUGGCCAGUAACCCCCAAUUUUCUAUGGUUGACCUCGGAUCAGGUAGGGGUACCCGCUGAACUUAAGCAUAUCAAUAAGCGGAGGA